GGAGGGGGCUAGCGUUGUUCGGAAUUACUGGGCGUAAAGGGCACGUAGGCGGACCAGCCAGUCAGGCGUGAAAGCCCCGGGCUUAACCUGGGAACUGCGCUUGAUACUGCUGGUCUAGAGUCCGGGAGAGGGUAGUGGAAUUCCCAGUGUAGAGGUGAAAUUCGUAGAUAUUGGGAAGAACACCGGUGGCGAAGGCGGCUACCUGGACCGGUACUGACGCUAAGGUGCGGAAGCGUGGGGAGCAAACAGGAUUAGAUACCCUGGGUAGUCCACGCCGUAAACGAUGAGUGCUAGACGUUGGGGGGCCCUAGCCCCUUCGGUGUCAUAGCUAACGCGUUAAGCACUCCGCCUGGGAGUACGGCCGCAAGGUUA
rnacentral:rRNA from 1 species